rnacentral:misc_RNA from 1 species
GCGGAAGGAUCAUUAAAGAGUAAGGGUGCUCAGCGCCCGACCUCCAACCCUUUGUUGUUAAAACUACCUUGUUGCUUUGGCGGGACCGCUCGGUCUCGAGCCGCUGGGGAUUCGUCCCAGGCGAGCGCCCGCCAGAGUUAAACCAAACUCUUGUUAUUAAACCGGUCGUCUGAGUUAAAAUUUUGAAUAAAUCAAAACUUUCAACAACGGAUCUCUUGGUUCUCGCAUCGAUGAAGAACGCAGCGAAAUGCGAUAAGUAAUGUGAAUUGCAGAAUUCAGUGAAUCAUCGAAUCUUUGAACGCACAUUGCGCCCCUUGGUAUUCCGAGGGGCAUGCCUGUUCGAGCGUCAUUACACCACUCAAGCUAUGCUUGGUAUUGGGUGCCGUCCUUAGUUGGGCGCGCCUUAAAGACCUCGGCGAGGCCUCACCGGCUUUAGGCGUAGUAGAAUUUAUUCGAACGUCUGUCAAAGGAGAGGACUUCUGCCGACUGAAACCUUUUAUUUUUCUAGGUUGACCUCGGAUCAGGUA